AGUGAACGCUGGCGGUAGGCCUAACACAUGCAAGUCGAACGGCAGCACAGUAAGAGCUUGCUCUUACGGGUGGCGAGUGGCGGACGGGUGAGGAAUACAUCGGAAUCUACUUUUUCGUGGGGGAUAACGUAGGGAAACUUACGCUAAUACCGCAUACGACCUACGGGUGAAAGCAGGGGAUCUUCGGACCUUGCGCGAUUGAAUGAGCCGAUGUCGGAUUAGCUAGUUGGCGGGGUAAAGGCCCACCAAGGCGACGAUCCGUAGCUGGUCUGAGAGGAUGAUCAGCCACACUGGAACUGAGACACGGUCCAGACUCCUACGGGAGGCAGCAGUGGGGAAUAUUGGACAAAAGGCGCAAGCCUGAUCCAGCCAUACCGCGUGGGUGAAGAAGGCCUUCGGGUUGUAAAGCCCUUUUGUUGGGAAAGAAAAGCAGCAGGUUAAUACCCCGCUGUUCUGACGGUACCCAAAGAAUAAGCACCGGCUAACUUCGUG
rnacentral:rRNA from 1 species